UGUGAGUUGCGAACGGGUGAGUAACGCGUAGGUAACCUGCCUAUUAGAGGGGGAUAACUAUUGGAAACGAUAGCUAAUACCGCAUAACAGUAUGUAACACAUGUUAGAUGCUUGAAAGAUGCAAUUGCAUCGCUAGUAGAUGGACCUGCGUUGUAUUAGCUAGUAGGUAGGGUAAAGGCCUACCUAGGCAACGAUACAUAGCCGACCUGAGAGGGUGAUCGGCCACACUGGGACUGAGACACGGCCCAGACUCCUACGGGAGGCAGCAGUAGGGAAUCUUCGGCAAUGGGGGGAACCCUGACCGAGCAACGCCGCGUGAGUGAAGAAGGUUUUCGGAUCGUAAAGCUCUGUUGUUAAGGAAGAACGAGUGUGA
rnacentral:rRNA from 1 species